AGCUGAAACAAAGACUAAUGAAUUCUUGAUAGAUGUGGACAAAGGAGCAGGCUACUGCUUUACUGUACAAGCUCAGAUUCUCUCCAGGAAAAAAGACCAAAGGAGGGCAGAAAGCACCCAGGAAUGCACAGACCAAUGGACCAGUAUCCUGGGAGGCAUUUCAGGGAAAGCAUUUAAUUUAAAUUGGAAAUCAACUAAUUUCCAGACAAUUUUGAAGUGGGAACCCAAUCCCAUCAAUUAUGUCUACACUGUUCAGAUAAGAUCUGGAUCUAAGGACUGGAAAGACAAAUGCAACUUAACCACACACACUGAUUGUGACCUCACAAAGGAGAUCGUUCAGGAUGUGCACAAGACCUAUGAGGCAAGGGUCCUAUCUGUCCCCCAGAAUAAGACUAAAUGGAAGGAAGUGCUCUUUUCAAAUGCCACAAAGUUUACACCUUACCAAGAGAGUAAGUAGCUUGGUGUGUGAUGUCUUCAUUCCUAGCCU